rfam:Meloidogyne hapla strain VW9 Mh10g200708_Contig707, whole genome shotgun sequence.
UCCCAGUUAGUAUAGUGGUUAGUAUCCGCGCCUGUCACGUGCGAGACCCGGGUUCGAUUCCCGGACUGGGAG